GUUUGUAGUACCCAGCUGCGUACGUUUGUAUUUGGCGGCUCCGAGGAGGAACUCCCGGCCGCAGCUCCAGGAGACGUCCUGGUAGUG
rfam:Cricetulus griseus cell line CHO-K1, whole genome shotgun sequence.